rnacentral:rRNA from 1 species
GAGUUUGAUCAUGGCUCAGAUUGAACGCUGGCGGCAGGCCUAACACAUGCAAGUCGAACGGUAACAGGAAGAAGCUUGCUUCUUUGCUGACGAGUGGCGGACGGGUGAGUAAUGUCUGGGAAACUGCCUGAUGGAGGGGGAUAACUACUGGAAACGGUAGCUAAUACCGCAUAACGUCGCAAGACCAAAGAGGGGGACCUUCGGGCCUCUUGCCAUCGGAUGUGCCCAGAUGGGAUUAGCUAGUAGGUGGGGUAACGGCUCACCUAGGCGACGAUCCCUAGCUGGUCUGAGAGGAUGACCAGCCACACUGGAACUGAGACACGGUCCAGACUCCUACGGGAGGCAGCAGUGGGGAAUAUUGCACAAUGGGCGCAAGCCUGAUGCAGCCAUGCCGCGUGUAUGAAGAAGGCCUUCGGGUUGUAAAGUACUUUCAGCGGGGAGGAAGGGAGCAAAGUUAAUACCUUUGCUCAUUGACGUUACCCGCAGAAGAAGCACCGGCUAACUCCGUGCCAGCAGCCGCGGUAAUACGGAGGGUGCAAGCGUUAAUCGGAAUUACUGGGCGUAAAGCGCACGCAGGCGGUUUGUUAAGUCAGAUGUGAAAUCCCCGGGCUCAACCUGGGAACUGCAUCUGAUACUGGCAAGCUUGAGUCUCGUAGAGGGGGGUAGAAUUCCAGGUGUAGCGGUGAAAUGCGUAGAGAUCUGGAGGAAUACCGGUGGCGAAGGCGGCCCCCUGGACGAAGACUGACGCUCAGGUGCGAAAGCGUGGGGAGCAAACAGGAUUAGAUACCCUGGUAGUCCACGCCGUAAACGAUGUCGACUUGGAGGUUGUGCCCUUGAGGCGUGGCUUCCGGAGCUAACGCGUUAAGUCGACCGCCUGGGGAGUACGGCCGCAAGGUUAAAACUCAAAUGAAUUGACGGGGGCCCGCACAAGCGGUGGAGCAUGUGGUUUAAUUCGAUGCAACGCGAAGAACCUUACCUGGUCUUGACAUCCACAGAACUUUCCAGAGAUGGAUUGGUGCCUUCGGGAACUGUGAGACAGGUGCUGCAUGGCUGUCGUCAGCUCGUGUUGUGAGAUGUUGGGUUAAGUCCCGCAACGAGCGCAACCCUUAUCUUUUGUUGCCAGCGGUCCGGCCGGGAACUCAAAGGAGACUGCCAGUGAUAAACUGGAGGAAGGUGGGGAUGACGUCAAGUCAUCAUGACCCUUACGACCAGGGCUACACACGUGCUACAAUGGCGCAUACAAAGAGAAGCGACCUCGCGAGAGCAAGCGGACCUCAUAAAGUGCGUCGUAGUCCGGAUUGGAGUCUGCAACUCGACUCCAUGAAGUCGGAAUCGCUAGUAAUCGUGGAUCAGAAUGCCACGGUGAAUACGUUCCCGGGCCUUGUACACACCGCCCGUCACACCAUGGGAGUGGGUUGCAAAAGAAGUAGGUAGCUUAACCUUCGGGAGGGCGCUUACCACUUUGUGAUUCAUGACUGGGGUGAAGUCGGAACAAGGUAACCGUAGGGGAACCUGCGGUUG